CCAGGAAGUACGAGAACAUCUGAAGCCGAAAAUGAAAGUAGAAGAGUGAUGCUCCUUGUUGCCAAUGGUGCUACUUAGAUAGGAGCUAAAAUGCAUUUAUAUUUAUGUAGGGCUUAAUCCUGCUUGAACAUAAACCAGUUAUCUUAAGUUGCAAAAGUAGAGGUGAGAGCAAAUGACACAGAAGGGCGAAAGAAGAAUACAGGAAGGAGGUUAACAGCAACAAAGAGCCAAAGCAGUGAUUAGUUUGUAAGAAUAUUGAAAGAACUAUUAGGAACGAAACGGAGCAAAAUCAGUGACUGUUUUGUAAGGACUAUUAGAAACGAAACGGUUAUUAAAGCUUACAAGCUGUGCUACGAGAAACCAAGUAACGGGACACAGCUAGUGUUGUUUGAGAAGAAUACAUUAUACAUAAGAAAAGGACUAAGGAAUAUAGUAGGCCCGAGAAGGACCAGAAGCCUAAACUGCAGAUCAUACAUUCCCCUCUCUAUUCCACGUUACGAAGCAUGGCCGACAGUAGUAGCAGUAGUAGCAGCAGUCGCAAAAGAGGCAGAGACGAGCUACCACCACACGAUGGUAGUUGUGAUGCUUGUGAUCCGGAUGAGGCGUUGCCUAGGGCUACUAAGGUGUGUGACACCUGCGGCUUUGCUUUUUGUGAGAAGCACGCGGAAGAGCACCGGCAGAAACCCACUACUCGUCGUCACAAGCUCAGGGACUUCAGUUCAUCCGCUCCCCCGAAUGAGACAGAGGAGCAUCAGCAAGAGCAGACAGAAAAAACAGAGAGCCCUCAGCCUGCUGAUGAGGGGGCCAACAAGCGCAGGACCACUGCUGAAAGAAAGAAAUGUCAGGAGCAUGGGCAGGAGUUAACAUUGUACUGCAAGGAACACGAGAAGAUCAUCUGUGUACUUUGUGCCGUGACAGGUUCUCACCGGCAGCACAAGCUCAUAACCUUAGAUGAAGCGUAUCAAGCGAUGAGAAGUAGAGAACCUGUUGACCUGAAGGCAGCCAUGCUGGAGAUGGUGGAAAGGUUAAGGAUCAAGUGCACUGACCCUAAAGUGACCAGAAGUGAGAUGAAAGAGUGCAUUCAUGAGGAAUUUGGUGAUGUGCGGAAGCUUCUAUCAGAGGAAGAACGAAAAGCAUUGCAUCUGGUGGAGCUACAGGAAGCUGUGGCAACAGCACAUGUAACAGAGGUCCUUGCUGAGAUUAAUGUCAACAUGGAGAAACUUAUGGCUGAAAUGGCAGAGAUAACAAGACAGCUAAAUGCAUUUAAUGAACUGGCCUCACUGAAACCAGAGGAAAGAAAUGAAGAACCCAGCAGAAAUGAUCCCCCACCUCCACCACCAUCCACUGGGAGUGGCAGUAGAAGGUAUGAUGAGCCACCAAUGGCUAAUGGACCAUGGUGAGGAAGGUAAGGCAGGAGAGUGUGACAUGGCUUAUCGGCACUAUAAGCGGACUUCAUUCAAUGCCUUAGACAUGCAGUGCUGCAGAGAGAUCCAGCUGCUAUUCAUAAUAAUCCUCAGUGCCACUGCAAUGGUUAUCCUGCAGGACUUAGUUCUACAAAAUUCAAAGAUCAUCGCAAGUCUUCACUGUAAACAUUUUUUAAAAAUGGAGGGAAAAAAGUCCUCACUGUAUAUUACUGUUGCUUAUCUGCUUAAACGAAAUUUCAGAGUUUUAACAUAACCUUGUGAAGAUUUUUUUUUUGUUUUGUAUUUCUUGUUCUUCACUCAUGAUGAUUCUGUUAGUGGUACAGUUCAUGAAGAACUAUUGAGAAAAGGAACAGUUAUCAAGAAAGUUGAUGAUGUGCAUUUUAUAACUGAAUUUCCUAAUUGUACAGCCACUAACUCCACAGACAGCUGUAUAUUUGAUAAUACCAUAUGGAUAGUAGCCGUCAGUGUAUUUAGGACAUUAUGAGAUGUACAGACCUCCAGGAUGUACCAGAAAGUAGGUUUCAUUAAAAAAGGCAGUGGAUACAACUUGCCCCAAGUUCUUUAGCUAUAAAUGUGGAUUGGGAAGAUGAGAUACAAAAAGGCAUCCCUUUUGAGUCUUGUUUUUUGUUGCAGCAGGGUGUCCACGCUCCACUCAUUGGCUUCUUUGCUUUACAGUUACAGAGCCUCAACAAUUCGGCUAUCCUUCUUGAAACCAGAUGGUCAUCUAGUGUUCAAAAAGGUUUCCUGAUGAAGCUGCAAGGCAUAUUCCUAUGGAAUGUAGGCAUAUUCUGCAUAGGGGUUUUUAGUGUUUCAACUGUGUGAUUGCAAAGUUUUCUUUUCAUGUUCAAGAAAAGUAUUAUUCUGGGCUUCAGAGGAGUCAUGUGAUCCUAGCAUUAAAUAUUGAAGACUGCAGGGAGUUAAUUCUAAUAUUACUGAUUGUCAGUGUUAGGAACAUUUGUUGCACACAGCUCACAGAUGCUGACAUUUCUUCAUGUGUUUGCCAUUAUCUAUUAAUUAGUGCUGCUAAGACCAUGUAAUUUUGGUAACAUUUCUUUCCACUGAGGCUACAUUUUCCAUUCUGAUGAAGUUAGUAUCAGCUGAGUAUAACCUGGGGAAUCAUUCGGCACAAUUUAAAGGAAGAGCAGGAUACAGUCCUUGAUAUAAAAAUCCAACUCUUGAUGGGUAAAUUUUAGAGAUACAAAAUUUUGAUUAAGUUUAAAAUGUUAUUCUCUUUUUAUAGCCAGCAAUGAAGAUUAUCUGUGAGAGCUAUUAUGCAAUGUUAAACAACUAAUAGAAACGAGUUCCAGCUAAGUUUGAGCAGUAAAGAGGCUUACAUUUUUAUGAAAAUCUAAAGAUCAUCUGUUCAGUAUAUGUUGAGAAGCCUUUUUAAAUUUAAUGCAUGUGGCUUCAUGCUUCUGCUGUACUGACCAGCAGUAUUCCCUAUCACCUUUCAAAUUAGUAGCUAUAUAAUGUAUUUGUGAACUCAGUGUCAUGGGAGUAGUAAUGCCUAGCAAAGCUGGACAUUGUGGAGCAGAUUGCCUGAUAUCCUCCAUGGAGGAUCCAGGUAUUGCAGUUGUCAUACAGUUGGAGGCCUUGUGUAUCAUCAAAGUUGCUAAUGUGCAUUACCAUGGAUGUCUUGCAUGUGUGGGUACCAGCGGUUGUCUCAUGCUCUUCUGGAUACUUCUACAUUCCUUGACUUACUGCAUGGCAUAGACUGUAGCCACUUAUAGUUUAGGAAUAAAAAUGACUCUUAAGAGAAAUGAGUUUAUACUCUGUGUGGACAACAUGUGAUCUAACGAGCUGUUUCCUCCUCUGUACUACAUAAUCAUGGUAAGAAAGCUUUUUUAUGUUAAAAUAGACUUGUAUACAAAACAAAGUGACAGGCUGUUGUUUUUGCAAGGAAAAGUGUUUACCACGACUGAUAUGUGUAAAUAAAGAUUAUUUUCACUCAUCUACAAAUGUACAAUCCAGUUUCUCAUUCCCCGAGGAGAAACUGUAAUGUUAGGGAGUGAGGGCAAGUUCCUUCAGAAACCAGUAGCCCAGUUGUUGUUUUCAGGGUAGUGAAGAACAAGGUAUGAAUUGUGACUGUUCAUGUUAUAAUGUCCUUAUACUGAUGUUUCCAUACUUGCCUAUCGAUGUCAUCUUCUGCAGUCAGUAUUCCUUGUGCAUCUUAUGCAUAGUAUCUCAGUACACUAAAUGAGAUUAAGAAUUGCUAAUGGAUAAAAAUAUUCUUGGCUCAAAGGAAUUAAAAUGUCGAUAUGAAAACA